rnacentral:rRNA from 1 species
AAUCCGGACGGUAGAAUUCAGAAUCGAUGGCGGCAACGUCGUCGGUUCGAUAUUCUGCCGUCGAUACGGACGUCGCGACCCGUUUGGUGUCGGUCUGAGGAGACGCGUUUUACGUUCGUCGACGCGUCGUCUGCCUCGGUAGGCGCGCGUUGCGAGUACGCGUUCGUAUUCCGGCCGGCUCGCCCAGACGGUAUGUCGAUGGUGGCCGUGGCGGUCGUUCGCUUCACGGCGAUCAGCGCCGUUCACGGUACCGGUUUGCGACGAAUCUUCGGGCCUCUUUCCGACCCGUCUUGAAACACGGACCAAGGAGUCUAACGUGCGCGCGAGUCGCGGGGUGUCGAGCAGCGGAGGUUCGCCUUUGUUGCUCGUUACGACGCGAAACCCGUACCGUUUAUUCGGAAGGCGCAAUGAAAGUGAAACAGGGGAAGAUGGCGUUACCGAGUUCACGUUUCGCGACUCGAUCGCGACCGGUCGCCCGCAUUCCCAGGGCGUCCCAACGGUGCGACGGCGUUGCGGAUCGUCGUUCUUUCGGGAACGGCGGUCGGGCGUCGUCGGUCCGGGGCGCACCUAUAGCGUGCACGUUGGUACCCGAAAGAUGGUGAACUAUGCCCGGCCAGGAUGAAGUCAGGGGAAACCCUGAUGGAGGUCCGCAGCGAUUCUGACGUGCAAAUCGAUCGUC